rnacentral:rRNA from 1 species
AGAGUUUGAUCAUGGCUCAGAUUGAACGCUGGCGGCAGGCCUAACACAUGCAAGUCGAACGGUAACAGGAAGCAGCUUGCUGCUUCGCUGACGAGUGGCGGACGGGUGAGUAAUGUCUGGGAAGCUGCCUGAUGGAGGGGGAUAACUACUGGAAACGGUAGCUAAUACCGCAUAAUGUCGCAAGACCAAAGAGGGGGACCUUCGGGCCUCUUGCCAUCGGAUGUGCCCAGAUGGGAUUAGCUUGUUGGUGGGGUAACGGCUCACCAAGGCGACGAUCCCUAGCUGGUCUGAGAGGAUGACCAGCCACACUGGAACUGAGACACGGUCCAGACUCCUACGGGAGGCAGCAGUGGGGAAUAUUGCACAAUGGGCGCAAGCCUGAUGCAGCCAUGCCGCGUGUAUGAAGAAGGCCUUCGGGUUGUAAAGUACUUUCAGCGGGGAGGAAGGGAGUAAAGUUAAUACCUUUGCUCAUUGACGUUACCCGCAGAAGAAGCACCGGCUAACUCCGUGCCAGCAGCCGCGGUAAUACGGAGGGUGCAAGCGUUAAUCGGAAUUACUGGGCGUAAAGCGCACGCAGGCGGUUUGUUAAGUCAGAUGUGAAAUCCCCGGGCUCAACCUGGGAACUGCAUCUGAUACUGGCAAGCUUGAGUCUCGUAGAGGGGGGUAGAAUUCCAGGUGUAGCGGUGAAAUGCGUAGAGAUCUGGAGGAAUACCGGUGGCGAAGGCGGCCCCCUGGACGAAGACUGACGCUCAGGUGCGAAAGCGUGGGGAGCAAACAGGAUUAGAUACCCUGGUAGUCCACGCCGUAAACGAUGUCGACUUGGAGGUUGUGCCCUUGAGGCGUGGCUUCCGGAGCUAACGCGUUAAGUCGACCGCCUGGGGAGUACGGCCGCAAGGUUAAAACUCAAAUGAAUUGACGGGGGCCCGCACAAGCGGUGGAGCAUGUGGUUUAAUUCGAUGCAACGCGAAGAACCUUACCUGGUCUUGACAUCCACGGAAGUUUUCAGAGAUGAGAAUGUGCCUUCGGGAACCGUGAGACAGGUGCUGCAUGGCUGUCGUCAGCUCGUGUUGUGAAAUGUUGGGUUAAGUCCCGCAACGAGCGCAACCCUUAUCCUUUGUUGCCAGCGGUCCGGCCGGGAACUCAAAGGAGACUGCCAGUGAUAAACUGGAGGAAGGUGGGGAUGACGUCAAGUCAUCAUGGCCCUUACGACCAGGGCUACACACGUGCUACAAUGGCGCAUACAAAGAGAAGCGACCUCGCGAGAGCAAGCGGACCUCAUAAAGUGCGUCGUAGUCCGGAUUGGAGUCUGCAACUCGACUCCAUGAAGUCGGAAUCGCUAGUAAUCGUGGAUCAGAAUGCCACGGUGAAUACGUUCCCGGGCCUUGUACACACCGCCCGUCACACCAUGGGAGUGGGUUGCAAAAGAAGUAGGUAGCUUAACCUUCGGGAGGGCGCUUACCACUUUGUGAUUCAUGACUGGGGUGAAGUCGUAACAAGGUA